rnacentral:tRNA from 1 species
GGAGAGGUGCCAGAGUGGUCGAAUGGGCCGGACUCGAAAUCCGGUGAACAGCUUGCUGUUCCGUGGGUUCGAAUCCCACCCUCUCCGCCA